CGAGACUCAGUGAAAUUGAACUCGCUGUGAAGAUGCAGUGUACCCGCGGCAAGACGGAAAGACCCCGUGAACCUUUACUAUAGCUUGACACUGAACAUUGAGCCUUGAUGUGUAGGAUAGGUGGGAGGCUUUGAAGUGUGGACGCCAGUCUGCAUGGAGCCGGCCUUGAAAUACCACCCUUUAAUGUUUGAUGUUCUAACGUGGACCCGUGAUCCGGGUUGCGGACAGUGUCUGGUGGGUAGUUUGACUGGGGCGGUCUCCUCCUAAAGAGUAACGGAGGAGCACGAAGGUUGGCUAAUCCUGGUCGGACAUCAGGAGGUUAGUGCAAUGGCAUAAGCCAGCUUGACUGCGAGCGUGACGGCGCGAGCAGGUGCGAAAGCAGGUCAUAGUGAUCCGGUGGUUCUGAAUGGAAGGGCCAUCGCUCAACGGAUAAAAGGUACUCCGGGGAUAACAGGCUGAUACCGCCCAAGAGUUCAUAUCGACGGCGGUGUUUGGCACCUCGAUGUCGGCUCAUCACAUCCUGGGGCUGAAGUAGGUCCCAAGGGUAUGGCUGUUCGCCAUUUAAAGUGGUACGCGAGCUGGGUUUAGAACGUCGUGAGACAGUUCGGUCCCUAUCUGCCGUGGGCGCUGGAGAACUGAGGGGGGCUGCUCCUAGUACGAGAGGACCGGAGUGGACGCAUCACUGGUGUUCGGGUUGUCAUGCCAAUGGCACUGCCCGGUAGCUAAAUGCGGAAGAGAUAAGUGCUGAAAGCAUCUAAGCACGAAACUUGCCCCGA
rnacentral:rRNA from 1 species